UACGUAGGUGGCGAGCGUUGUCCGGAAUUACUGGGUGUAAAGGGCGUGUAGGCGGGAUAGCAAGUCAGAUGUUAAAUUCCACGGCUUAACUGUGGGGCUGCAUCUGAAACUGCUGUUCUUGAGCGCUGGAGAGGAAAGCGGAAUUCCUAGUGUAGCGGUGAAAUGCGUAGAUAUCGGGAGGAACACCUGUGGCGAAGGCGGCCACCUGGUUGGAUACUGACGCUGAGACGCGAAAGCGUGGGGAGCAAACAGG
rnacentral:rRNA from 1 species